UUGUUGACGGCUUUACAAUCAACACACAUACGCCAACUACCAUCUUUUUUGGGUACUAAUAAGACGGGCACUACGCAUGGACUUAAACUUUCUCGAAUGUGCCCCUUUUGUAAGAGCUCCUCCACUUGCCUUUGAAGCUCUUUGGUCUCCUCGGGAUUGUUCCUAUAGGCUGGUCUAUUUGGUAUGGCAGCCCCGGGAAUAAAGUCAAUUUGAUGCUCAAUCCCUCUCAAAGGUGGUAAACCUUGAGGUAGAUCAUCGGAAAAAGCAUUGCUAAAUUCCUGCAAAACUUUAACUACAACACUUGGCAAAGAAGAGUCAAGUUCGUUAGUUGAGAAACGAACUUCCUUGUACAUGAGUACAAUAAUUGGCUUGUUAGAAAAUAAAGCUUUCUUCACAUCUCUCAUUUUAGCAUAAAAACUCAUUUUCUUUCCCUCAUUCUUUUUUAUGGUCGAAUGCAUCUCUUUUUCUUUUUCCUUUUGAUCUUCAUUUUUCCACUCUAAUUUUCUCUCACUCUCUUUUCUUUUCUCUUUUUCUUUUUCUUUUCUUUUUCUCUUGGUCUCUCUUUGUGCGAAUUCAUCAUGGGACUUUUCAAGUUGCAUUUGGUCUUCAAAAACUCAUUUAGGGGUUAAAGGAAGAAAAGUAUACUUUUUGCCCUCUUUUCCUACCAUGUACCUAUUGAGAUACCCAUCAUGCAUCACUCUCAUAUCCCAUUGCCAUGGUCUACCCAGCAAAAUAUGACUAGCUUGCAUAGGAACUACAUCACAUAUCACCUCAUCACUAUACUUCCCAAUAGUAAAAGGCACCCUCACUUGCUUAUUAACUCUCAUCUCCCCACUAUUGUUAAGCCAUUGCAACUUAUAAGGUUUAAGAUGUUUGGUAGUUUUCAAACCCAGUUUAUCAACAAAUAAGGUACUAGCUACAUUUACACAACUACCCCCAUCAAUAAUCAUGCUACACAAUUUUCCAUUCACUAGACAUCUAGAAUGAAAAAUUUUCUCUCUUUACAACUUAACCCCCUCAUCAUCAUUCCUUACUUGCAUAUUCAAAGCACGUCUAGAAACCAACAAUCUACCUUCCAUAGGCGUUUCCCCAUCACUACAAUCCUCCAAAGGAGGCAUUUCAUCCUCCACAUCAUUCUUAUCAUCCGUUUCAACAUCAUCACCACACAUCACCAUUACCCUUUUAUUUGGGCAUUGAGAUAUGACCAAAACUCAAGCAUCUAAAACACUUGAUAUCUCUAUUCCUAGGAGUUUGGGAGUCAGAAAUACCUUUGUUUUAUUAUCAUUAGCAUCCUUUGACUUAGUUUUGUCAUCUCUUUUGAAUUGGACAGCCUUGUUAUCUCCCCUCCAAUUCGAUCUCCAAUUGGAAUUUUGGGCCGAGUAAGUGUUGGCUUGCCUUGUGUUCCCCUUUUUCUUUAAUUGUCUUUCAAUCUUUAUAGCCAUGUGCACCAUAUCAUCAAUCUCCACAUAAUGUUGAAGCUCUACAAUGUUGGCUAUGUCUUUGUUAAAGCCAUUUAAGAACCUUGCCAUAGUAGCUUCCCUAUCCUCUUCAAUAUUAGCCCUUAUCAUGGCUAUCUCCAUCUCUUUGUAGUUGCAAACUUUUCCCUAGGCUUGCUCAUCAACUUGCAGUGCGCUUAAAGAAAAUGCAGGCUUUUUAAAAUAUGAGAAGAUAUCCUUCCUGCCAUAAUCCAAGGUUCGAAAAUAUGAGAAAAUCAUUUUGGAAAGAUAAGGAUGAGCCAAAAUUAAAGGACAUGGAUUGGAAAUAAAGGAAAGAAAAAAAAAACCCUAGACUCCAAUCGACUAUAAAGAAGGCGGCUGUCAAAGCUGAAUCAUCUUCCCUUGGGCCUGAGGCCAUGCAAAGUAGAUUUCCCUACUGCUGUAAUUUUUCUUCUUCAUAUUUCUUCUCUCCUUUAAUCACUAAAAACUCUUUUGUAUUGAAACCCACCAUGAGUGGCUAGUUUAUUUCUUUUUCUAGUUGAGGUUUAGUGAACUCUAGUGAUGUAUUUGUCAUAUCGAAUUUAUUUAAUUCAUAUUUUAUUUAAACCUUAGUAUUUAUUUAUUUCAUGCUCCUACAUAUACUUGUUAUGUUUUGAAUCUGUUUGAACAAGUCAAGUCAAAUGCAUGUAGAAGCCGCAAACUGCCGGCUAAACCACUCAAAUUCGUAUUUGUUUGAGCGGUUUCAGCACUUAACAGCGAUCAGUGUGGUACUGAGGAGGUAAGUAACCAGGUUGACUAGUUCAUGCGGAUGAAUCUGACAACUUGAAUCAGGUUCUUCUAGUUUUUAAGGUCGUUGGCACAUAAAAUUCUAUGGGCAUUCCUAAGACUGUUUGGUAGGGAAAAACCAAUCAAUGAAUAUUUCUUGAUUGGUUUAAAAAUAAAGAAUGAUUGGUUGUUGGAACAUUUAUGAUAAUUAUAAUUGGUUGACUAGUUCAUGCAGAUGAAUCUGACAACUUGAAUCAGGUUCUUCUAGUUUUCAAGGUCGUUGGCACAUAAAAUUCUAUGGGCAUUCCUAGGACUGUUUGGUAGGAAAAAACCAAUCAAUGAAUAUUUCUUGAUUGGUUUAAAAAUAAAGAAGGAUUGGUUGUUGGAACAUUUAUGAUAAUUAUAAUUGGUUUGCUAUAGUUUAAAUGAGGUUGAUCCUUGCAUCCAUGAUCAAUUACGUUACUUGAGUUGGCUAUCUCAUCAAUUAGGAAUCCUCUUUAUUAUUACUUUAGAUUUUAACUUACAGCCAUGAUUUUAUUCAACAUCAUUCUGCUUAUUGCUCAUUUUAUGUUUAACGUAACCAAUCCUAUAAAACCCCCUAUUGUUUACUUUUCAUUUGUUAAUCAAGGAAGAAAAUUGAUUUUUGACUCCUUGUGGAUUCGACCAUUCUUACCACUACUACAAUAUUGUUUUACUGGUUAAUUAGGAAUUUAUUUUUGGUGGAUUUGAUAUCGAUCACCUCUCCACGUCCAUGUCUUCCAGGAUGUUGGAAGUAAGCGGCAACCACACCAACAAUCCCUUUACCAAACAAUUGCUACCAGAAUUGAUGGUCUCCCCUAACAACAUAUCCCAUUUCUCCCUACAAUAAGGCAUAAUAAGAUACAAAGGGAGAUUAGUCCUAAGAGGUAAAUAGGAACUUCGCAAUCAACUGCUUUACUAGUGCUAUAAUUCAACACUAGGGGAGUCACUCUAGAGCUAGAGUCACUUAUGAGAGGGCUAACCAACACUUCUAUUGGCCCAAUAUGAAGAAAGGAAUUUUAUAAGAGGUCUAAUAAUGCAACAUCUACCAACGCUGUAAACAGAGCGAGUUCCCACACCAGGGCUACUUCGACCAUUGCUCGUUCUACCAUAUGCUUGGACACACAUAUCCAUGAACUUCAUUGAACAGUUGCCCAAAUAAGAAGGGAAGGACAUUAUAUUAGUGGUAGCAGACCGCUUCACAAGUAUGAACAUUUCAUUCCCCUGUAGCACCCCUUAUUGCAGUCGGAGUAGCCCGAAGUUACAUGGAGACAGUAUAAAAGAUGUGUAAAAUUCCACAGGUAAUUAUGACUGAUCGAGAUAAAGUAUUUACAAGUUUAUUCUGAAAGGAGCUAAUGAAGGCAGUGGGGACAAAUUUACUCUUCAGUACUACAUACCACCCUCAGACAGAUGGACAAAUAGAAAAACUCAAUCACUGUCUAAAAAUGUACCUACAAUGCAUGGCUAACCCACAACUAAAGACUUGGGCCAAAUGGUUAGUCGUAGCUGAAUGGUGGUAUAGCACUUCGUACCAUACAAGUUUGAAGAUAACACAUUUUCAAGCACUCUACGGGUACCCACCUCCACAUUUCUUUGAUUCCCUAGGAUUCUACUCUGCAUUACCCUCAGUACAGAUGGUCCUAGCAAAAAGAGAAGAGGCCAACAAGACCAUAUGUCAGCAGCUACUACAGGCACAAUCUAGAACCAAGCAAUAGAGAGAUAAUCAUCAAAGUGAGAAGUUUUGAGGUCAAUGAUUGGGUAUUGCUCAAACUACAUCCUUUCAAAUAAGGGACAUUUAAGAAGGGACGAGACUCCAAAUUAUCACUUGAUACUACAGACCAUUCCAAGUCUCUUAAAAAAUUGGGAAGGUAGCAUAAAAACUCCAGUUACCUAAAGAAUCAAAGAUUCACCCAGUUUUUCAUGUGUCCCAACUCAAGAAAUACAUCCUGGCCACAUAGGAAAUCCAACAAGACUUGCCCUCGCGAAUCAUGAAAGACUUCAUUAGUGUACAACCAUAACAAAUCUUAAAACAAAGAACCAUAUUACGAGGUAAUUAACCAGUGGAUCAAGUUCUUAUCCAUUGGGAAGGAGAUCAAACCAAAAAAGAAUUGUUGGGAAGGAGAUUAAACAAAAAAAUGCAUAUGGGAAGAUUACAAGUAUUUAUAACACUAGUUCGUACACCUCAACCUUGAGGACAAGGUUACUGUUCAAAGGGAGGGUAUUGUUAGGAAACCCCUCAAGGCUUGUCACAGGAAAAAGCACAAGAAGGGAAAUAUGCACAUUAAAGGUGAAAAAUGGGGAAAACCUAUAACGAAUUGGGAUUAUGGUUGACCAACCCUAAUGGGAUUCAUCUCAUCUCAUAGUCGACGCCUCUCCCAUAUGCAAUUCAUCCCACAGUCGACAUCGUGCUCAUCAUCAUCAUGCAACUCUGGCCGCUCAAUUUCAGUGAGUAUGAUUUUGCCAUAGAGGUCAUUUUUAUUUAUUGUACUUAUGCCUAUAAAAGGCUCUCUUCCAUAAGUUGUAAUCAUAAAAAAUAAAGAAUCAAUAAAAUACCUAUAUUUUCCUCUCCUAAACCUUCUUUGUCUUCACAUAUUAUAGCCAUGUUGAAGGCUUUUGACAACACCUUGAUUUCUAAAAUACAAAAAUGUUCCCCUUAUAUUGGGACAUUUCCUCAUGCAUCAUGAAAUGCAUUAUCAUUUCACAUUUUUUUAUUUGUGGCAUUUGGAUUGGAGGCAAAAAUCCAUAUUAAUGAUAGAAGUAGCAACAUUGUCUACCUAAAGUGUCCUUGUACUAUAUUCUAAAAUAAAGUUUUACCAAAUAAACUGUGUCAAAAUUUGUCACAUAGUAUUGCUUAAGACUAAAUAAUAAGUUCAAUCAUUUUUAAAAAAAAACUAAUAGUCAUUUUUUAAAAAACUAUGGCAGUAGUUGAAAUGUCUUUACAUAUUGAACUUCCUCUAGCAUGAUAGACUUGAAGUAGGUCACAAAUCCUACCAUUAAGCGUACACUGACCUAAUCGCGAGCCAGUUUUAAACCCCAACAAGGCACAUCAACCAGUAAGGUUUUGAAUUGAGAACAACCAACUAGAUAUGAGGAAUUGUCUCAAACAAUUGAACAGGAAAAUAAUCCAAACUUAAGCAUAACCAAAACUUUAACUUUGGACAUAGUCCGAAGCUAAAACACAACCAAAAUAACCUGGCUUAGUGCACAUAGUCUUAAGCUCAGUCUUUAAGCAGGAGUCAACAGAGUUCAUCUUGCUCCAAGACCCAGUUUCAUGCACACAAACUCAGUUCGUCCCAGGACUUGGAUGUCGCCUUGAAGGUAAUGUUCAGCCCAACCGAGGAAAAAAUUAAAAUAGUUGCUACUUUUGUUCGAAUAUUUUAUUGCUCCUCCCAAUACCUAUACUGGAUGCUACUGAAAAAAUCUUGACCAAUUUCACAUUUUGUACUAUCUAAUGUUGUCGUAUACUAUUUUGUCUAGCCACCAGCAAAAACUACCUUAAUAAUUUGAUGAGGAAAUGAUUUGGUAAAACCAAAUUUGAACCAUUCCUAAUGAACAAAGGCUUGACUGAUCAUUGCAUCCGAGCACUAUAUACCAAAUAUCAACUACAAGUUCAUAGAUCCAUAUGUAAAUGGUGAGUUUUAAUUAGUAAUAAUUUAUAAGAAAAAUUAAAAAAAUUAAGCUCAUAACCAGGCCUAGCAUGUUUAAAUAGCUUAUCAUAAAUAACUCUUCCUGUAUAAAACACACACAAAUCAUUAUGUCAAGUAAGCCUAGAUUGGAAAGUAAAGAACUUGAAAUUAAAGGGAUUAUACCUUUGCUUUAACUAGGGAUCUCUAGAAUCAAGGGCAAAUUCUUCUAUUUGAAGCCCCUCGGAAAGAUGAAAAUCAUAAUGUUCUUGCCUUUCCUCAAAAAAAUAAGGAGGAAACUUUAUCUCGCAUAGAGAACACUUGUAGCCAUUGCUCCAUAAUAAUAAUGGCUCACUCUGAUUGGAUGUAGAAGUAGCUUCACUCACUAUAUCAUCAGCAUUCUCCACCACCACAUCAUGGUUGCUAUACUCAAUUUUUUUUAUAUUCAAAUAAAUCUUUUUUCAACACUUCUAAUUUUCUAAUAGACUUUGGGGUAUGAAGUGUAUCAUCUGUAAUCCUCACCUAUUACAGAAAAUAUACAACAAAGCUGGAUGAGAAAUGGAUGUCAAAAAUAGGUCAACAAAAAUAAAUUAUCAACAUAUUCAUGUCCUAGGCAGAAUGAUGAAAUUACUUUAGGCUUAUCAGAUACCCUAUCCAGAUUUUCAAUUACUAAAGGUUCAUGAGAUUCCUUCUACUCCAGCAACAUUGCUUCUAAAAGUUAAACCUUCAACUGGUUUCCCAAAUUCAUGAUGAUGUGUCUCAUGUUUUUCAGCAGAAAAGCUGGUUCCCUUUUCAUUCAUCAAGUGGCGUUCACUAACAUCUGAGCUCAUGGAAAUUUAUUCAUUAAGAGCUCUCCUAAAAGAAUGUCCUGAUAUGAUGAAGUUGGCAAGAGUCUUUUGUGUAAGAUCGGGAGUGUAGAACUUCUCUUCAUCAAACUAAGACAUUCGCAGGCCUGGCAGUAAACAAAGAUAAAUAUGUUAUUAUAUUCAAUACUAAUAUUCUAAAUAAAACAAGUGUAAGAUUAAUUUUACUAAAUAAAAAUACAAGCACAAUUUAAAACAUGAACCGCAUUGUAAUGACAUAAUAGUUCCAUAAUGAAAUAAAAAUCACAACCUACAAGCCUUAAUGGAAUAGGAGGAGGAGGAUAUUGUGGACUAAAACUCGUAUUUAUUUUAACUUUCAUUUGCCCAAAAAACCUGUUUUAAAUUAAAUCACCCAACGACAUCGUUUAAUUAAAAGUAUGUAAAAAGAUAAGGACAACCCUUUAAGUGUCACUAGACACAGAGAGAACAGGCUUGUUAUUAACGGAGGUGAAGGUGAUUUACUUCAAGCCUCAAACAAAUUCCUUUACUCUAAAAGAGGCGACCCCAAGUCUGCAUUCAAGACCAACAUCUCUGAUUCUCCUCUUAAAAACUUUCUGGAAAUUUUAUUUCAAAACAUGACACAGAAGGAGAAGGAUACAAUGGGAUAAAUAUUAUAUUUAUUAUUAAAUUUUAAUUACCCAACAACAUUGUUUUAAAUUAAAUUGCCCCAAUAACAUUGUUUAACAAAAAUGUGUAAAAAAAAUGAGGACGACCCUUUAAGCAUCACUGGACAUGGAGAGAACUGGCUCGUUAUUAGUGGAGGUGAAGGUGCUCAGCUUCCAACCUCACCUAAACUCCACCACUUUAAAAGAGGUGACCCCAAGUCUAGUUGAAAACGAACAUCUCCAACUCUCCUCUUAGAAAUUUUUUUAAAAUUUUCUUUCUGAACAAAACAUAAGAGGAGGAUAUAGUGCACUAAAUCUCAAAUUUAUUUUUAACUUCAAAUUUCCCAACGACACCAUUUAAAAUUAAAUCGUCCACUGACACCAUUUAAUUGAAAUGUAAAAAAAAAUGAGGACGACCCAUCAAGCGUCACUAGAUACAGAGAGAACCAGCCUGUUAACAGUGGAGGUGAAGGUGCUCUGCUUUCACCCUCAGGCAAACUCUUUCGCUCUAAGAGACACGACCCCGAAUCUGUGCAGGACCAACAUCUCCAACUCUCCUCUUAGAGAACAAGACACAAGAGGAGGAGGAUAUAGUGGACUAAAGUUCGUAUUUAUUAUUAACUUUCAACUGCCCAAUGGCACCAUUUUAAAUUAAAUCAUCCAAUAAAACCAUUUAAUUGAAAUGUAUAUAAAAAUGAGGACGACCUUUCAAUCGUCACUGGACACAGAGAGAACCUACCCAUUAUCAGCGGAGGUGAAGUUGAUAUGCUUCCAGCCUUAGGCAAACUCCUCCUCUCUAAGAGAGGAGACCCCAAGUCUACGUUCAAGACCAACAUCUCCAACUUUCGUCUUAGAAUAUUUCUAGAAAUUUUCUUUUAGAAUAAGGCAUAGGAGGAAGAGGAGGAUAUAUUGGACUAAAGCACGUAUUUAUUAUUAACUUUUAAUUGUGCAAUAAGAUUAUUUUAAAUUAAAUCGCCUAACGAGACCUUUAAUUGAAACGUGUAAAAAAAAUCAGGACAACCCUUCAAGCAUCACUAGACAUGGAGAGAACUGGCUCGUUAUUAGUCGAGGUGAAGGUACUCUGCUUCUACCUUCAUACAAACUCCUCCACUUUAAGAGAAGCGACCUAGAGUUUGCAUUCAAGACUAACAUCUUGAACUUUCCUCUUAAAAGAUUUCUAAAAUUUUUCUUUCAGAAUGAGGCACAGUAAGAGGAGGAGGAUAUAGUGGACUAAAGCUCUUAUUUAUUAUUAACGUUUAAGAGCUCAACGACACCGUUUAAUUGAAACAUGUAAAAAAAUGAGGGCGAUCCUUCAAGCGUCUCUGGACACAGAGAGAAUCAGCCCAUUCAACAGAGGUGAAGGUGCUCUACUUCUAGCCUCAUGCAAACUCCUUCACUCUAGAAGAGACGACCUUAAGUCUGCGUUCAAGGCCAACAUCUCUAACUCUCAUCUUAGAAAAUUUUUGAUAUCUUCUUUUAGAACAAGACACGGGAGGAGAAAAAGAAUAAAAUGGACUAAAGCUCGUAUUUAUUAUUAACUUUCAUUUGCCCAAUCAUACCAUUUUUAAUUAAAUCACCCAAUGAAACCAUUUAAUUGAAAUUUGUAAACAAAUUGAGGACAACUCUUCAAGCAUCAUUGGACAAAGAGAGAACCAACUCGUUAUCAGUGAAGGUGAAGGUGAUCUACUUUCAACCUCACUCACGCAAACUCCUUUGCUCUAAGAGAGGCGACCCCAAGUUUGCUUUCAAGACUGAUAUCUCUGAUUAUCCACUUAUAAAAUUUUUGGAAAUUUUCUUCCAAAACAAGAGGAGGAUAUAGUGGACUGAAGCUCGUAUUUAUUAUUAACUUUCACUUGCCCAACAAAAUCGUUUAAUGGAAAUGUGUAAAUAAAAUGAGGACGAUCCUUCAAGCGUCACUAGACACAGAGAGAACCCACUUAUUAUUAGUGGAGGUGAAGGUGCUCUGCUUCCAGCCUCACGCAAACUCCUUCGUUCUAAGAGAGGUGACCCUAAGUUCAAGACCAACAACUCCAACUCUCCUAUUAAAACAUUCCAUUAAAAACUACUGUAAGGAAAUAUAUAAAAAAAUUAUGUGCACUAUUAAUAACAAAUGUGGGAUAAGGAACCAACAUUCCCAAGGUCUUGGGUCUCUUAUGUGGAUAAUGAAAAACUUUACGUACCUUUCUAAAUUUUGCAUGUAAGUGCUGGUUUUUUACUAUGUUUUGUGACCUAGAGUAGAUUAUGGUUUUAGUAUAAUUAUAUUUUUGUUUAUGUUGAUGAGAAAAUCUGUAGAUUUAUAGUGUGCAUGAGGCUUAGAAAGGAGCCAUCUUUAAGUUCAUUAACUUGCUUUCGCAUAAUACGAUACAUAAAAAUAUACAUAGAGUGCACACACCUAACAUUAACCACAUUCAUCCCAACUUCCUUAAUACGGGCUUGUACAUGCUAGCUUUAUCUAAUAAAAUGAAGAGUUAUUUGUUUACACAAAAACCCAAUAGCUGCCAUUUUAGCAUCUUUAAUCUCUCUCCUAAUCCAUGUGGGAUAAAGCACCCAUAAACUCUUAAAAUAUCUCGUUCAUUCUUUUAACUCCAUCAUCUACAUAUUACUCCCCUGUUAACUUUCCUCCUCUUGUCAGGACAUAUUUACUUUUAUUCCAUUAAUAAGAAUUCCAUCAUCUAUAUGUAAAUUUGAUCAUUUUAUCAAUUUUGAUGGAGCCACCAUUUCUUGUCAGGGUCUUUAUCAAUAUGCUAUUCACUUUUACGAUCACUUACAAUCCAACAACCGCAAGGCAUAUUGCACAAAUAAACUUGAACAAAACAAGACAAGUUGUUGCACAGAUGAAGCUGAAGUUUCAAAGAUAAUAGAGCUACACUAUUGGCUGCAAGGAUGGUGAAAAUCACUAGAGAUUGUACUUUUCUAGUAGAAAUUUAUAUAUUCAUCAAUUGGUGUCAUGAUCAACACAUGAACGAAAAACAACUUCCAAUUUAGGACACAUGAGAAUAUAAUUUAAUUUUAAUAAAAAAUUUCUUAUAUUCACCUUGCAAGUGUCUUCCCUCUUUGCUUAGAUCUUACUUCCAUAAGUUAGGAAUAACUUUUUAAUUUUUAUUUUUCAAUUUAUAUUUAUACAAGAAUUAGAAUAUAAAUAAAAUUAUUUUUAAAAACAUCAAAGAUAAAUAUUUUUAAAUUUAAUGUCAUCUCUAUUAUUUUUAUUUAAAUUAAUUUAUAUAAUGUCAGAAAUAAAUAAAUAAAUUUUAAAAAUAAGAAUAAUUUUGUAAUUUACCAGAAAGAAAGAGCCUUACAUUUGAAGCAAAUGGGCACUGCAAAAUGAUAUGUAGGGAAAUAAAAAUAAAUUUAAAAUAAUAGCAGGAGCUUAAAAAUCAAAGUAUUAAAUUUAAAAAAAAAACACAACUAUUAAAUAUGAAAAGAAAAAUUAAAAUAUUGGGUAUUUAACUAUAUAACUUCCCUUUAUUAUUAUAAUUAUGAGCAAAUUCAUUUAGAAGAAGUUCUAAAGACAUUCCAAGAUAAGAAGUUGUAUGUAAAACAAUUCAAGUGUUGUUUCUUCUAAAUAGAGGUGGAGUAUGUUGGGCUAGUCGAAGGGUGGAAAUGGACACUUGAAAGAUCGAAGCCAUGAUCAACUGGCCAUUCCUUAGAUGAUUAAGGCCUUACAAGUUUUCUGGGCUUAAAAGGAUACUAUGACAAAUUAUUACAGACUCAUAGCCUAACAACUCACUCAUUUUUUUUAAAACAGUGCUUUUAAAUGGAAUGCAGAAGCAAAUAAGACCUUCCAGUCGUUAAAGGCAGCCAUGACUUCCAGCCUGGUCUUAUAACUGCCUAAAUUCGGGGAUCAUUUUACUACAGAGACAAAGGUGAGUAAUAAAGGUAUUGGAGCAAUCUUAAUACAAGAGAAUCAACUCAUCACCUUCAUAAGUACGACUCUCAACCCCAGGAAUUAAACUAAAUUGGUAUACGAGAAGCAACUGACAGAAGUUCUCUAUGUUGUAGAAAAAUAGGUGCACUACUUAGAAAGAACCUCCUUCAUCAUUAGAACUAAUAAGCACAACCUAAAGUACUUGUUAGAUCAAAGGGGGGUAUCCUCCAUGGUAAAACAAGAGGAGAUUUUGAAGUUGUUGGGUCUCAAUUACAUGAUCCAAUACAAGCAAGUGUCAUCCAACAAAGUAGCUUACGCUUUUUCAAGAAAAUACUCCGAUGAAUUUGAAGCAGAAGUCUUAUACACCCUCUUGAUAGGGUGUAAAAAUAACAUCCUCGUCACCUAUGUUUGUGUGUCUAAAAUGAACUAUUUGCUGCAUGAUCAAGUUAUUUUAUCCAUUUUGAUGUAGGACAGAAGUUGGAACCUAAAGUCAGGAAGAACAGUAGGAAGCAAGGGCGAGAACUAUAAAACUACCAUAUGUCAUGGUCUUAGCCUUGCGCAAGGCUAAGACCGCUCAACUACAGCAUGUAUUGGCCCCCGUACACACCCUUGUCCAAGGGAUACAUUUCAGCAAAAACAAGAAAACGCAACCAACCCUUGGGAACGGUUUGCAUCUAAGGCAGUAGGAUGGGACAUAAGUUAUGAUCUACUAAGCCUUGGCCAAGGCCAAGGUGGCACUUAAAUUUAAAAGGUUCGCACGUAAUUGAGACAAACUUUGCCCUAGGCUUGCACAUCAACCUCCAAUACACUUAAAGAAAAGGGGGGCUUUUUGAAAUAUGAGAAGAUACCCUCUCUAUCGUGAUCUAAGGGUUGAAAAUCAUGUGAAAAUCAUUAUGGAAAGAUAAAGAUGAGUUGAAAUCAAGGAAAUGGAUUGGAAAUAAAGGAAAGAAAAGUAAAAGAAACCCUAUACUCUGGUUAACUAUAAAGGAGGCAGUUGUCAAAGUAGAAUCAUAUUUCCUUGGGCUUGACACCACACAAAGAAGAUUUCCCUGUUGCUACCCUUUUUCUUCUUCAUAUUUAUUCUCUCAUUUAAUCACUAAAAACUCUUUUGUAUUGAAACCCACCAUGAGUGGCUAGUUUAUUUCUUUUCCUUUUUGAGGUUUGGUGAACUCCAGUGAUGUAUUUGCAAGAUCAAAUUGAUUUAGUUCAUGUUUUAUUUAAACCUUGGUAUUUAUUUAUUUCUUGCAUACUUGCUGUUUUGAAUUUAUUUGAACAGGGCCCGUGGAAUGCACGUAGAGGCCGCAAGUAGCUAGCUGGACCAUUAAAUCUGUAAUUGUUUGCUUAGUUUCAACACUUAAAAGCAAUCAAUGUCGCACUGAGGAGGUAAAUAACCUGGUUGACUGGUUCACACGGAUGAACCCAACAACUUGAAUAAGGUUCUUUUAGUUUUUAAGGCUGUUGGCAAGUAAAAUCUUGUGGACAUUCCAGGAUUGUUUGGCAGCAAAAAAUCAAUCAUGAACGUUUCUUAACUAGUUUAAAAAUAAGAAAUGAUUGAUUGUUGAAACAUUUCCAACAACUAUAACUUGUUCAGAAUAGUUUAAAUAAGGUUAAUCCUUAUAUCCAUUAUCAAUUACGUUACCGGAGUUGGCUAUUUCAUCAACUAAAUAUCCUCUUUAUAAUUGCUUUAGAUUUGAACUUGUAGCCUAUAUUUUGUUCAACAUCAUUCUACUUAUUAUUCAUUUUAUAUUUCGCAUAACCAGUCCUAUAAAACCCCCUCUUGUUUACUAUUUAUUUGUUAAUCAAGGAAGAAAAUUGAUUUUCGACUCCAUGUGGAUUCAACCCUUCUUACAACUACUCCAAUAUUGUUUUAUUUGUUAAUUAGAAAUUUAUUUUUGAUGGAUUCAACACCAAUCAAAUUUUGGUGCCGUUGCUAGAGAGACGGUAUUUAACUAAUUAUUUUUUCUUUUUAUGACUAGGUUUAUCGUGGGAGACCACUCUUUUACGAUCCAGAGAUUGAAAAGACCACCAAAAGUCUAAGAAAGCAGACCCAAGAGAGAAGGGAGACACAUCAAGAUAGCAUACCAUCUUCUCCACCCGAGAUAGAAAGUAUGGAACAAGAGUGCAUAUUGAAGGAGCUGGUAGCACUGUCUACCAACCAACAACCUCUCUGCAUCAGCUACCCAGAUCUGGGCGUAACUUUCGAGCUAAAAUCUAGCUUAAUUCACUUGCUGCCCAAGUUCAUAGGUUUAGAGAUGAAAACCCGCACAAGCACCUCAAAGAACUUCAUGUUGUGUGCUCAAGCAUGAAACCACAUGGAGUGUCCAAAGAACAUAUAAAAUUAAGGGCAUUCCUCUUUUCUUUGGACAAUGAGGCCAAAGAUUAGUUGUUUUACCUAUCCUUAGGAUCGAUCAUGACUUGGACAUAUAUGGUAAAAGCCUUCCUAGAUCAUUUCUUUCCAGUAUCGCGGGCAAUUAGCAUUAGAAGGGAAAUAUACAGAGUUCGUCCAAGGGAUUCCAAAAGCUUACAUGAUUACUAGGAAAGGUUCAAACGAUUGUGCGCAAACUGUCUACAUCACGAUAUUUCAAAAUAAUCCCUCAUUCACUACCUUUAUGAAGGAUUAUUACCCACAAAAAGAAGAAUGUUGGACGUAAAAAGUGGCGAAGCCAUAGCGAAUAAGACACCACAGCAGGCAAGGGAGUUGAUAUCGAUCAUGGUAGCCACCUCCUUGUAAUUCGGAUCCAACUGGAACACCCCUUGGAGAGUGAAUGAGGUAAGUAUCUCUACCCUUGAGUCUCAAAUAUCUGAGCUAACUAGUUUGGUAAAAACAUGGCCACAUAAAACAACCAAUGAGCUCAAGUGUGUGGGAUUUGUGCACAUUCGGGACACCCCAAGGAUAUGUGCCCCACGCUCUAUGAUGAUGACAGUAGCAAGUCAAUAUGGUGGGUGGUUUCCCAACUCAAACGCAAAGGAGGUAUGAUCCUUUCUCCAACAUGUAUAAUCUCGGAUGGAGAGACCACCCCAACUUUAGCUAUAGAGUGAGACAACAAAACUACCAGCAAUACCCAAAUAUACCACCUCCACCACUAUAAGCAGGGCCUCCCAAACAAGCUAUAUCCCUCGAAGAGAUUGUUAAGUCACUUGCCACUGACACCCAACAAUUUCAACAGGAGACAAGAGCUAGCAUUUUGAAUUUGGAGACACAAGUCAGCCAACUCGCGACUUCCAUGAGCUAGCUAGAAUCUUAGGGCAAAUUACCCUCCCAAAAAGAAGUGAACCUAUGGCCCAACGUUACUGCCAUCACCUUGCAAAGCGAGAAGGAAUUACUAGAAAACCUUGUCAAAAAAACCCUUGGUCGAGGGUUGCAAAAGGAAAUAGGGUCGGAAGCCUUGGGCAAGGCUAUUAGGGCAACAAUAAAUGACAGUACCUCUCCUGGUAAGACAGACUAUGAUCAACCAAUUUUGUCUCCAAUCAGACCACUCUUCUUGUAGAGAUUCACCAAAAUAAAGAAGAAAAAAGAGGAUAAGGAAAUACUAAAAACAUUCUCUAAAGUCGAAGUCAAAGUCAAUCUUCAUCUAUUUGAUGCCAUUAAACAAAUACCCAGAUCUGUCAAGUUCUUGAAAGAAUUAUGCACCCAUAAGAGGAAACUAAGUAGCAACAAAAGAAUAAGUGUGGGGGAGAAUGUCUCGGCUAUCAUACAAAGGAAGUUUCCUCCUAAAAACAAAGACCAAGAUAGGUUCGACCUUUAUGUGUUAGAUAUGGAGGAUGGCAAAUUUUCAGGUUCCUUUGAUCUCCAAUUAGGCAGACCCUUCCUCAGCACUGCUAAUACAAAAAUAGAUGUGCAAGAUGGAAUCCUCACUAUGAAAUUCGACGGCAAGGUGGGAAGUUUUAAUGUGUAUGAUGUUAUGAAAUAUCUGUUUAUUUGUUUUGUGUGUGCAGCACCGAUACCGUUGAUAUCCUAAAUCAAAAGUACUUUAACUUAAGCCAUGGAGACGAGGUAAGUAUUGUACUUUGCAAUGAUUUAGAUGCUGAUAGUCUACAGAUCCUAGAAGUAGACCACGUGGUUGACCAGUGCUUACAAGAAGUCAUGUUUGAACUGAACUCCCUUAAGCGGAUAAAAGGUAUGACUCCUUACCUUAAUCUCCCCAUAACUCACACGAAUAUGUUUUACAGACCCCAAGAUAGAAUUGAAACCACAGCUCGAACACCUCAAGUACAUUUUUUUAGGUGAAGGGGAAACCCUCUCGGUGAUAACCUCCAACAAACUCAGCCAAUCUGAAGAAGUAAAAUUAUUGAGGGUACUCCGAGAACACAAGGAAGUCAUAGGCUUGAUCAUAGCUGAUAUCAAGAAAAUUUUACCCUCCACUUGCAUGUACAGGAUCUUGUUAGAAGAGGGUAGUAAACCCAACAGACAAGUUCAAAGGCGCAUGAACCCACUGAUGAUGGAAGUGGUGAAGAAAAAAGUUUUGAAGCUGUUGGAUACUGGAAUCAUCUACUCAAUCUCAGACUGUUGGUGGGUAAGCCUAGUGCAGAUUAUGCCAAAGAAAAUAGGGGUCAUCGUGAUAGAGAACCAAGAGGGAGAAAAGAUUUCAGCAAGAGUGCAAAAUGGAUGGAGGGUCUACAUCGACUACCGUAAGUUGAAUGCCUUAACAAGAAAGGACCACUUCUCGUUGCCCUUCAUCGAUCAGAUGCUAGAAAGGCUAGCAGAAAAAACCCAUUACUACUAUUUGGAUGGCUACUCUGGGUUUUACAAAAUUUUGGUUGCCCUUAGAGGUUAAGAAAAUACCACUUUUUCAGGCCCCUUCAAGGCUUUCACCUAUUGAUGGAUGCUGUUCAACCUUUAGAAUGCACCUUUAAGAGAUGCAUGGUCAAUAUCUUUUCUGAUUUUAUGGAAAAAAAACAAAGAAUUUUUUAUGGAUGACUUCAUAGUCUAUAGAGAUUGUUUUGACGAAUGCCUUGGCAAUCUCACAAAGGUGCUUAAGCAAAGGUGGACGUUAUUAAAUCACUGCCUCACCCAAAAAUUAUAUGGGAGAUACACUCCUUCAUCGGGCAUGUCAGUUUCCAUAGAAGGUUCAUUGAGGACUUUUCAAAGAUCACACAACCUUGUGCCAUUUACUUCAGAAGGAUAUCAAGUUUAUCUUUGGGGAACCUUGCAAGGAAGUAUUCAAAACACUUAAAGAGAAGCUAGUGACAACACUCAUCAUGCAACCGCCAAAUUGGGGCUACCAUUUAAAAUAAUGUGUGAUGCAAGAAACUAAGCAAUGUGUGCAGUACUCGAGCAGAGAACAGGAAAAGACCCACAUGUAAUCUAUUAUGCUUCUCGCAUGGAGAAAGAGCUGCUCGUUGAGUUUGCCUUGGGAGAAAUUUUAGUCAUACUUGUUGGGAACAAAGGUGAUUGUCUUCUCAGAUCAUGCGGCACUGAAGUACUUGUUGAAGAAAAAAGAGGUAAAAUUGAGGCUAAUACAAUGGAUACCUCUUCUGCAAAAAUUUGACCUUGACAUAAGAGACAUAAAGGGGAUAGAGAAUUUAGUAGCAAACCACCUUAGCAGGCUGCUAAUUAGUGGAGAGGAGCCCUCUCUAUUGGGCGAUGAGUUUCUAGAUGAACACUUGUUUGCGAUUCAGCAUACAGCCCCAUGGUACACGGACAUCGUCAACUACCUUGUUACCCGUGAACUAUCAGCCGAUCUACUAAGGGCUAAGAAAGAAAAGAUAAAAAAAGAAGCAAAGCAGUACGUCUAGAUGACCCAUACCUGUCAAAACAUUAUGUGGAUUAGUUAAUCAAGAGCUAUAUUCCAAAGAUUGAAGUAGCCUCUAUCCUAAAAUUUUGUCACUUAUUUGCCUGUGGGGGGCACUUCAGACCAAAGCGAACAGCCUAGAAGGUACUAGAGUGUGGUAUGUUCUGGCCAUCAUUAUUUCAUGAUGCAUAUACCUACUACAAAACUUGUGAAAAUUGCCAAUGCACGGGAAACAUCAGCCACAAAGAUCAAAUGCCAUUCACUCCCAUUCUGGUAUCUGAAAUCUUUGAUGUAUGGGGCAUCGACUUAAUGGGGCCAUUCCCCUUUUCCUUCGACAACACCUACAUCCUACGAGCAGUGGAUUAUGUUUUCAAAUAGGUUGAAGCAAAAGCUAUCCAGACCGAUGAUGCUAAGGCAGUUGUCAACUUUUUGAAAACACGUCUUUGUGAGGUUUGGAAUCCCAAGGGCAAUAAUAAAUGAUUGGGGAACUCAUUUCUACAAUCGGGUGGUCGAAUAUCUCUUCAGAAAAUAUAAUGUCACUCACUACACAUCCACCGCCUACCACCAACAAACUAGUGGACAAACGGAAGUCUCCAACUAGGAAGUCAAGUCCAUCUUAGAAAAAAUGUUUAAACCAAACAGAAAGGACAUGAGUCUAUGACUUGAUGAUGUUUUAUGGGCUUAUCGAACAACAUUCAAGAUGCCAAUCGAAAUGUCUCCAUACUUCCUAAUCUUUGGGAAAGCUUUUCAUUUGCUUAUUAAGCUGAAGCAUAGAGCAUACUGGGCCAUCAAGAGUUAUAACAUGAAGAUGGAGGAACUUGUGGAGCAUCGGAAGCUACAACUACAAAAACUAGAAGAAAUACGAAAUACGACCUAUGAGAACUUCAGAAUUUACAAGGAAGAGACAAAAAUACUCGACAACCAAUUAUUUUCCAAUAAAUAAUUCUUAAUUGGGCAGUAAGUCAUCCUCUUUGAUGGAUAGGGCCAUUCCAGGUCAAGGUGGAUAGGGCCAUUCCAGGUCACCAACAUAUUUCCUCACGGCAUUGUCGAAAUCAAGAGCCUUAACACACAAAAAAUUUUCAAGGUGAACAGACACCAUCUUAGACCUUUUUACGAAGGCUUCUUUGCAAAUAACAUUAAAAAAACAACACACAACCCACCCGAGGCACAUACCUGACAACAAGUAGGACAGUUUGGCCUUGGACAAUAAAUAAGGUGCUUGAUGGGAGGCAACCCAUCCAUAUUUUCUUCCUUAUGUUUUCUUUCUUGCCCUUCUCAAUUUUAACUUCUUUUUGGGUAAAUUAAUGCAUUUUUUGCUGAAGAUUAAUGUAGAAAUUGAAUUUAUUUUAUUUAUUAGUUUAAAUUCAUAUAGGAUUUAUUUUUAAUUAGAUUUAGAACAUAUUUAUUUUUUAAAUAUCAUGUUAUUAGUGGAAAUUUGUCUUUUAAGAGAUUUGGUUAAUGUUUAUCUUUUAGAUUAUAAUAGAUUAUUUUUUAAAAAUUUGAAUUCGAUAUAAGUCUAUUUAAAGGCAUUUUAAGUUGUUAAUUUUGGAGGAGUGAAUUAAAUAAAAAUUUAAUUUUUCUUCACUUAAAAAAAUCCCAACAAGUGGUAUCAGACCUUCAUUAGUCAUGGGUAUGUGAGAAAAAAAAUAAAGAGAAAGUAAGAGAGUUUCAUACAUCAAAUAUGGCCUCAAACACUUUUUCUUUGACUUCACCUCCCAUUUUCACGAGAAAAAUUUCAAUUAUGGGUUGUGAAAAUGCAAACAUAUGUACAAUUUUUUUUUAUUUUGGGAUGUGGUUGAAAAUGAUGGUGAACCCCCACCAUUGCAAUCUCAUCCAACUGCAGCUUAAUUAAAGAGUCAUAUGAAGAAAAAUCCAAUUACAAAGUAAGAACUUACUUGUACUUCUCAGUUUUUGAAAUGAUUUUUACUAGGAUCAUGGCAUGCGAAACUCCAAAAGAGAUAUUGCAUUUGCUUAAAACUGAGUAUUUAGGUAAUGAUCAAACCAGGUUGAUGCAAGUUUUGAAUCUUAAGAGAGAAUUUGAUAUUCAAAGAAUGAAGGAAUCUAAAGGAAUCAAAGAGUGUGCUAUCAACUCAUGACAUUGUUAACAAAAUUGGAUUAUUUGGUGAAGAGUUUUCCGAUAGUAGAAUUGUUGAAAAAAUUUUUGUGAACUUACGAGAAAAGUUUGAACCAAAGAUUUUCCCACUUGAAGAUUCUAAGGAUCUCUCAAAAAUUACAAUUACAGAAUUAAUUAAUGCUUUACAAGCUGUGGAGCAAAGAAGAGCAAUGAGAGAUGAAAAAAAAAUUGAGGGAGUUUUCAUAGCCACAGUGUCAAACAAGUCUUCAUCAAGAUCAAAGAGAAGAAACUUUCCACUAUGGUGAGUAUGCAGAAAAAACAAUCAUGAUGAAAAAGAUUUUUGGCAUAAAGGUAAAUCACAAUAUUUUUAUUGUAAAAGAUUUGGGUAUAUACAAAAAAAUUACAGGUUGAAGAAUGAACAAGUGAUGCGGAACCCCAAAACCUUUGCUUGAACCUUAGAACUCUUCAAUCGGUUUAGAACAGAAUUUAGAUCACAAGUAAAAAAAAAAUCAAAUUUGUUCAAUCACCCAAAUGGUAGAAGUUAAAGAGAACCCAAGAAAGAUAAAUGAUAUCCCUUGAACUCAAUCCAAACAAGCACCAAUAACAAUUGAAAAGAGGAAAUCAAAAUUGAAAUACAAGUGAUAACAAUUGUAUUCCAAAUCAACACCUUGUGCAUAAAGUGAAAAGAAAGCCAAAACGCUCUCAACUCAAUUCUGAAAUGUUUGAUUACAACUCUUGAUGUCCACAAAGAAGAGUUCCUUUGGUAUUUAUAGCCAAAGAAAUCAAUGAUAAGUUACAAUACAAUAACUACAAUUGUAACUCCCACAAUAACUAGGUUAAUUAUGUGGUAAUUAUAAUUGUAACUCCAACAAUAACUAGGCUAAUUAUAGGCACGUAAUUGUUACGUAACUCCUUGUAACUCCAAUCUUCUUAACCAACACCACUAAUUGUUUGGGGCACCAUAUAGUUAUGGGCUCAUUCUUAUAAUAAUACUAAGACAAGACUUAAGCCCAAAAUAAGUUAUACUUAACUAUAUAAGCUUAAUUAACUCAAAUUAAAAUAAAACAAUCUAAAAUACUUAAAACAACUCAACUAAUCCAGCCCACACACAAGGUUUAUUCAUCCAUUAUCAAUAAGACUCAAACAAGCCCAAAUUAUCCCAAAUCACUUAAAUCCAAUUAAAGUUACGAAUUUGGGCUGUUCAAAAAGCUCAUAUUUGAACUUUCCACAAUUGGCCAACCCAUCAUCCACAUGUUUUUGAGUAAAAACUUGGAGCAACUCUUUAAUUGCCUUUAAUCUUGUUACUGGUCCGCUGAAACUUUCCAAGUUUGGAACUGUAUUUGUGUUUACAUCAUUUGAAAUUUGCUCCAAGUUACCUUCUGAUGCUCUUUGAGUAUCUUGAGUGUUUUUAGCAUUGUUUGUAUCAUUCCCCCUCCCCUCAAAAGGAUUCAUCCUCGAAUCAAUUCCUUCUUGAAAGCGCAUCAGCUACCACAUUUUCUUUUCCUUGCUUAUAUUGGAUCACAUAUGGGAAGGACUCUAUGAAUUCUACCCAUUUUGCAUGUCGUUUAUUAAGCUUGCAUUCCCCUUUCAAAUGCCUCAAAGAUUCAUGAUCGGUGUGAAUCACAAAUUCUUUUGGUAACAAAUAAUGUUGUCAUGUCUUUAAUGCUCUUACCAAAGCAUAAAACUCUUUGUCAUAGGUAGAAUAAUUCAAUUGUGCACCAUUGAGCUUCUCACUGAAGUAAGCAAUGGGUCUUUUAUCCUGCAUAAGAACAACACCUAUCCCAAACCCAGAAGCAUCACAUUCAAUUUCAAAAGUUGAAUCAAAAUUAGGCAAUCUUAAUAAAGGUGCAUUACAUAACUUUUCUUUCAAUAAGGAAAACGCAUGUUCUAGUUCUUUUCCCCAAACAAACCCCUUAUCUUUUUUCAUGAUUUCAGUUAAAGGGGCAGCAACGACACUAAAAUCUUUUACAAAUCUCCUAUAGAAACUUGUCAAACCAUUAAAACUACGCAGCUCACUUACACUUUUAGGUGUCGACCACUCUUGAAUAGCCUUUACCUUUUCACUAUCUACCUCGAUUCUUUCUGCACUCACGACAGAUCCUAAGAAAAUGAUGCGAUCAAUGCAAAAUGUACAUUUCUUCAUGUUAGUAUAUAGUUGAAAUUUGCACAAUGUGUCAAACACUUAACUCAAAUGCAUGACAUGCUCAUCAAUAGAUUUGCUAUACACAAGAAUGUCAUCGAAGUAGACAACCACAAACUUUCCAAUAAAUUCACGUAAAACAUGGUUCAUUAAACGCAUGAAAGUACUUGGCGCAUUAGUUAAGUCAAAUUGCAUAACUAACCACUCAUAUAACCCUUGUUUUGUUUUAAAAGCAGUUUUUCAUUCAUCUCGUUUCAUUCGUAUUUGAAACGAUAACUACUUAUCUUUUUUCAUGAUUUCAGUUAAAGGGGCAGCAACGACACUAAAAUUUUUUACAAAUCUCUUAUAGAAACUUGUCAAACCAUGAAAACUACGCAGCUCACUUACACUUUUAGGUGUCGACCACUCUUGAAUAGCCUUUACCUUUUUACUAUCUACUUCGAUUCCUUCUGCACUCACGACAUAUCCUAAGAAAAUGAUGCGAUCAAUGCAAAAUGUACAUUUCUUCAUGUUAGUAUAUAGUUGAAAUUUGCACAAUGUGUCAAACACUUACCUCAAAUGCAUGACAUGCUCAUCAAUAGAUUUGCUAUACACAAGAAUGUCAUCGAAGUAGACAACCACAAACUUUCAAAUAAAUUCACGUAAAACAUGGUUCAUUAAACGCAUGAAAGUACUUGGCGCAUUAGUUAAGUCAAAUUGCAUAACUAACCACUCAUAUAACCCUUGUUUUGUUUUAAAAGCAGUUUUUCAUUCAUCUCGUUUCAUUCGUAUUUGGUGAUAACUACUUUUAAGAUCAAUUUUAGAAAAUACACAAGCACCAUGCAACUCAUCUAACAUAUCAUCAAGUCGAGGUAUUGGGUGUCGAUAUUUUACCGUUAUUUUGUGUCAAGCUUUACAAUCAACACAUAUGCCAACUACCAUCUUUUUUGGGUACUAAUAAAAGGGGCACUACACAUGGACUUAAACUUUCUCGAAUGUGCCCCAUUUGUAAAAGCUCCUCCACUUACCUUUGAAGCUCUUUGGUCUCCUCGGGAUUGUUCCUAUAGGCUGGUCUAUUUGGUAUGGCAGCCCCGGGAAUAAAGUCAAUUUGAUGCUCAAUCCCUCUCAAAGGUGGUAAACCUGAGGUAGAUCAUCGGAAAAAACAUUGCUAAAUUCCUGCAAAACUU
rnacentral:lncRNA from 1 species